rnacentral:rRNA from 1 species
UACGUAGGGUGCAAGCGUUGUCCGGAAUUAUUGGGCGUAAAGAGCUCGUAGGCGGUUUGUCGCGUCUGCUGUGAAAACCCGAGGCUCAACCUCGGGCGUGCAGUGGGUACGGGCAGACUAGAGUGCGGUAGGGGAGAUUGGAAUUCCUGGUGUAGCGGUGGAAUGCGCAGAUAUCAGGAGGAACACCAAUGGCGAAGGCAGAGCUCUGGGCAUUAACUGACGCUGAGGAGCGAAAGCAUGGGGAGCGAACGGG